GGUAAAACGGAGAGGAAAACAUGCAGAGAUGAAGGGAGGACAGUGUGCAGUCAGAUGUGUGGAGGGUUAUGUCAUGCAGUGUGCAGCAGGGACCCUGUCAGCUGUGCAGCGGUGCAGAAACACAGGAGGUUAUGUAAUAUUCCCAGAGCCUCUUUUGCCGGGAAGGUCAGAGGUCACGGUCAGACACAGGACAACACUGAUGAUGAUCAGUAGAUUCGGAGCCGCUGCUCUCGGUACCAAAAAUAAACUUCUUCGUUAUCUCCUUCAUGGCAGCGAAAAUUACAGGUUUCCUCUGAAGAAGACACAAAAACACCCCGAACCAGAGAGAAGCCGCUCUGUCCAAAAUAACCUCCCAUCAGCAGCUGGAGUAGAAGAAAUAACAGGUCCAAUGUUCUUACGACUUAUCACAGCGUUGAGGACGUAA
rnacentral:lncRNA from 1 species